rnacentral:rRNA from 1 species
GACGAACGCUGGCGGCGUGCCUAAUACAUGCAAGUAGAACGCUGAAGGAGGAGCUUGCUCUUCUGGAUGAGUUGCGAACGGGUGAGUAACGCGUAGGUAACCUGCCUGGUAGCGGGGGAUAACUAUUGGAAACGAUAGCUAAUACCGCAUAAUAGUAGAUGUUGCAUGACAUUUACUUGAAAGGUGCAAUUGCAUCACUACCAGAUGGACCUGCGUUGUAUUAGCUAGUUGGUGGGGUAACGGCUCACCAAGGCGACGAUACAUAGCCGACCUGAGAGGGUGAUCGGCCACACUGGGACUGAGACACGGCCCAGACUCCUACGGGAGGCAGCAGUAGGGAAUCUUCGGCAAUGGACGGAAGUCUGACCGAGCAACGCCGCGUGAGUGAAGAAGGUUUUCGGAUUGUAAAGCUCUGUUGUAAGAGAAGAACGAGUGUGAGAGUGGAAAGUUC